rnacentral:rRNA from 1 species
UACGUAGGUGGCAAGCGUUGUCCGGAUUUAUUGGGUUUAAAGGGUGCGUAGGCGGCUUUGUAAGUCAGUGGCGAAAGCCGGUAGCUUAACUAUCGAAAUGCCAUUGAUACUGCAGAGCUUGAGUACAGUUGAGGUAGGCGGAAUUGACAGUGUAGCGGUGAAAUGCUUAGAUAUUGUCAAGAACUCCGAUUGCGAAGGCAGCUUACUAAAGUGUAACUGACGCUGAGGCACGAAAGUGCGGGGAUCAAACAGG